GUGUCAGCCGCCGCGGUAAUACGGAGGGUGCAAGCGUUAUCCGGAUUUACUGGGUUUAAAGGGUGUGUAGGCGGGCAUUUAAGUCUGGGGUGAAAUCUCCGAGCUCAACUCGGAAACUGCCUUGGAUACUAUUUGUCUUGAAUUAUGUUGAGGUUGGCGGAAUAUAACAUGUAGCGGUGAAAUGCAUAGAUAUGUUAUAGAACACCGAUUGCGAAGGCAGCUAACUAAGCAUAUAUUGACGCUGAGGCACGAAAGCGUGGGGAUCAAACAGGAUUAGAAACCCGCGUAGUCC
rnacentral:rRNA from 1 species